rnacentral:rRNA from 1 species
UACGAGGGGGGCGAGCGUUGUUCGGAAUUAUUGGGCGUAAAGAGCUCGUAGGCGGCCUGUUGCGUCCGCUGUGAAAGCCCGGGGCUUAACCCCGGGUCUGCAGUGGAUACGGGCAGGCUAGAGGUAGGUAGGGGAGAAUGGAAUUCCCGGUGUAGCGGUGAAAUGCGCAGAUAUCGGGAGGAACACCGGUGGCGAAGGCGGUUCUCUGGGCCUUACCUGACGCUGAGGAGCGAAAGCGUGGGGAGCGAACAGG